rnacentral:rRNA from 1 species
UACGUAGGGUGCGAGCGUUAAUCGGAAUUACUGGGCGUAAAGCGUGCGCAGGCGGUUUUGUAAGCCAGAUGUGAAAUCCCCGGGCUCAACCUGGGAAUGGCAUUUGGGACUGCAAGGCUGGAGUACGGCAGAGGGAGACUGGAAUUCCUGGUAUAGCAGUGAAAUGCGUAGAUAUCAGGAGGAAUACCGAUGGCGAAGGCAGGUCUCUGGGCUGAUACUGACGCUCAUGCACGAAAGCGUGGGGGAGCAAACAGG